AGUGCCAGCACUUAGGGGAAAGGACUACGGCAAGACUAAAAUGCGUUAUUCGGACUACACAGAGACAGAAGCAGGUCUUCAGUAUAAGGACUUGCGAGUAGGAAAUGGCCCCAUACCAAAGAUGGGAGAGACUGUAGUGAUGGUGGAGACUGAGUUACAGCAGAGGGCGAGUGAGAGAGUAGAGAGGGUGACGUGCGACAGUGGGUCGGUGAGCGAGAGAGUGAGAGGGUGACUGAGCGGUGAGGCUGAGAGGGUUGGGGCCGGCGUCGGCGACGGUGACGGUGACGGUGACGCUGAGAGAGUGAGAGAAGGAGAGGGUGAGUGAGAGUGGGUCGGAGACUGAGAGAGGGGUUUGAGAGAGACAGAGGUCAGACCGGUGAGGCUGAGAGGGUCAGUGGGUGAGUGGGUCGGCGUCGGCGACGGUGACGCUGAGAGAGUGAGAGCAGGAGAGGGUGAGUGAGAGAAGGAGAGGGUGAGUGAGAGUGGGUCGGAGACAGAGAGGGGUUUGACUGAUGAGGGAGAGUGAGAAUGGA